rnacentral:misc_RNA from 1 species
UUUCAAACUAACGGGCCCUAAACCUAAUACAGCUUUCAAUAAAGAUUCUUGCGCUUACCCUUGCCCUACUCCUGUAGUAAGAAGACUAGCUUUCCGUCCCGCCAUUUCUGAAAGUAUAGUAAAGGGACGACCGAUUCUUGAUAGCACUAGUCUCGUUGAAAGAGAGUUCCUCAUCGGAAUUAGGUAACAACAACUUCUUGAUCGGAAAAAAG